UACGAAGGGGGCUAGCGUUGCUCGGAAUCACUGGGCGUAAAGCGCACGUAGGCGGCUUCUUAAGUCAGGGGUGAAAUCCUGGAGCUCAACUCCAGAACUGCCUUUGAUACUGAGAAGCUUGAGUCCGGGAGAGGUGAGUGGAACUGCGAGUGUAGAGGUGAAAUUCGUAGAUAUUCGCAAGAACACCAGUGGCGAAGGCGGCUCACUGGCCCGGUACUGACGCUGAGGUGCGAAAGCGUGGGGAGCAAACAGGG
rnacentral:rRNA from 1 species